ACAGAGAAAAUUAAAUAUUUAUUUAAUACUUGCACUUUCUCAAUCAGAGCAGCUGUUGUAACUGCAUUCAUUUAGUUUUAAUAGAACAUGGAAUUUAUGAACUAACACUUUGUUAAUUUGAUGUAUUUUAAAUCAGUCAUUCCACAAAACAAUAACAUCAGUGGUGAGAUGCUUGGAAUAAUUGUACUGUGUAUUUAACAUGAAAAAUCUUCCAUGACAGAAUUCACUCCAGACUUUCAGCUGUUUUCUGGUAAUCACGUUUCCUACACUAUAGUUUACAACAUUUAUUCCUGCUCAUGUUGCAGAGAAUGUACACAGUCACAUGUGUCAGUGGUGAUGGGACACAGCAGGACAUGUUGAGGACAGCUGCAUUUGACUGAUUCUGUGUGUUUGCAUAUGUGUCCUCCCUCUUUGUUCUUGGCCGUUAAGAGUCCAGUGUUGAUCAGUGAGUGUCCAGGUCUUUCAGAGACACUGACUCACUGGCAGCACAAUGAUGAUGAUGUGUGUGACUCUACUGCUGGUCACUCUGGAGCUCCUUGUUCAGGGUUCAUCAGGAGACAUCACCAUGACUCAGUCUCCUGGAUCUCUGUCUGCUGCUCCAGGACAGACUGUCUCUAUCAAAUGUAAAUCCAGUCAACUUAUAGGUGAUGAUGUUAACUGGUACCUGCAGAAACCUGCAGAACCUCCUAAACUCCUGAUUGCAGAUACAACAAGUCGUCAGUCUGGAGUUCCAGAUCGCUUCAGUGCAACUUAUCAUCAGACUGACUUCACACUGACCAUCAGAGAUGUUCAGACAGAAGAUGGAGGAGUUUAUUACUGUCAGCAGCACAACAGCUACCCGCUCACACAGUGAUAAAACGUCGUACAAAAACCUCCCUCAGCUGCAGAGGAACUGAUGUGACUUAACAGCUGCACACACACUAACAUAUCACAGUAGACGAUGAACAUCUUUCUCACACUGAACAUUUAAACAGUGCACAGUUCACACGUGACAAUAACACCUUUAAUAAUAAAAUCACUUCUAUGUUUGACCACA